rnacentral:rRNA from 1 species
GUGGGGAAUCUUCCGCAAUGGACGAAAGUCUGGCGGAGCAACGCCGCGUGAGUGAAGAAGGUUUUCGGAUCGUAAAGCUCUUUCGUUAGGGACGAACGUGCUCUUUGUGAAUAAUGAGGAGUAAUGACGGUACCUAAAUAAGAAGCCACGGCUAACUACGUGCCAGCAGCCGCGGUAAUACGUAGGUGGCAAGCGUUGUCCGGAAUUAUUGGGCGUAAAGCGCGCGCAGGCGGGAUAUCAAGUCUGUCUUAAAAGUGCGAGGCUCAACCUCGUGAGGGGACAGAAACUGGUAUUCUUGAGUGUCGGAGAGGAAAGUGGAAUUCCAAGUAUAGCGGUGAAAUGCGUAGAGAUUUGGAAGAACACCAGUGGCGAAGGCGACUUUCUGGACGAUGUCUGACGCUGAGGCGCGAAAGCUAGGGGAGCGAACGGGAUUAGAAACCCGUGUAGUCC